rnacentral:rRNA from 1 species
UACGUAGGUGGCAAGCGUUGUCCGGAUUUACUGGGCGUAAAGAGCGCGCAGGCGGUCGUUCAAGUCGCGUGUGAAAGCCCCCGGCUCAACUGGGGAGGGUCACGCGAUACUGAUCGACUCGAAGGCAGGAGAGGGUAGUGGAAUUCCCGGUGUAGUGGUAGAAAUGCGUAGAUAUUGGGAAGAACACCGGUGCGAAGGCGGCUACUCUGGAGCCGACA